GAUGAACGCUGGCGGCGUGCCUAAUACAUGCAAGUCGAGCGAACGGACGAGAAGCUUGCUUCUCUGAUGUUAGCGGCGGACGGGUGAGUAACACGUGGAUAACCUACCUAUAAGACUGGGAUAACUUCGGGAAACCGGAGCUAAUACCGGAUGAUAUUUUGAACCGCAUGGUUCAAAAGUGAAAGACGGUCUUGCUGUCACUUAUAGAUGGAUCCGCGCUGCAUUAGCUAGUUGGUAAGGUAACGGCUUACCAAGGCAACGAUGCAUAGCCGACCUGAGAGGGGGAUCGGCCCAACGGGAAAGGAAACGCGGCCCAGCACCCUGGGGGGGGCAGGAGGGGGGAAUCUUCCGAAAGGGGGGAAAGCGUGCGGGAGAAACGGCGCGGGAGUAGAGAGGGGUUUCGGAUGGUAAAACGCUUUUAUGUGGAAAAAACAUAUGUGUAAGGAACGGUCACAAUUUGACGGGAACUUAAAAAAAAAGCACGGCCAAAUACGGG
rnacentral:rRNA from 1 species